GGUCAAGCUACAAAGGGCGCAUGGUGAAUGCCUUGGCAUCAGGAGCCGAUGAAGGACGUGAUAAGCUGCGAUAAGCUUCGGGUAGGCGCACAUAGCCAGAGAUCCGAAGAUUUCCGAAUGAGGAAACUCACAUGGGAAACCCCAUGUAUCCAUAAGUGAAUACAUAGCUUAUGGAAGGUAAACCCAGGGAACUGAAACAUCUAAGUACCUGGAGGAAGAGAAAGAAAAAUCGAUUUUCUUAGUAGCGGCGAGCGAAAGGGAAAGAGCCCAAACCGGAAAUUUAUUUCCGGGGUUGCGGACAGAACAUUAACGAGAAGUUAUGGAUAAUUGAAGAUGACUGGAAAGUCAAGCCAUAGAGUGUAAUAGCCACGUAAGUGAAAUUCAUAAUAAUCAAGUUCUGAUCCAGAGUACCACGAGACACGUGAAACCUUGUGGGAAGCAGGGAGGACCACCUCCCAAGGCUAAAUACUACCUGAUGACCGAUAGUGAAGCAGUACCCCGGGAGGGGAGUGAAAUAGAACCUGAAACCGUGUGCCUACAACCGGUCAAAGCCCCUUAUGAGGGUGAUGACGUGCUUUUUGUAGAACGAGCCAACGAGUUACGGUAUGUAGCAAGGUUAAGUACUUAAGGUACGGAGCCGAAGGGAAACCGAGUCUUAAUAGGGCGACUAGUUGCAUGCCGUAGACCCGAAACCGGGUGACCUAUCCAUGGCCAGGUUGAAGCGGGGGUAAAACCCCGUGGAGGACCGAACCACGUUGCUGUUGAAAAAGCAUGGGAUGAGCUGUGGAUAGCGGAGAAAUUCCAAUCGAACUCGGAGAUAGCUGGUUCUCCUCGAAAUAGCUUUAGGGCUAGCGUCGGAUAUGAGUAGUGGAGGUAGAGCACUGAAUGGGCUAGGGGGCAUAGCGCUUACCGAACCUUAUCAAACUCCGAAUGCCACAUACUAUUAGUCCGGCAGUCAGACUGCGAAAGAUAAGUUCCGUAGUCAAAAGGGAAACAGCCCAGAUCGUCAGCUAAGGUCCCAAAGUGUAAGUUAAGUGGAAAAGGAUGUGGGAUUUCUAAGACAACUAGGAUGUUGGCUUAGAAGCAGCCACUCAUUAAAAGAGUGCGUAAUAGCUCACUAGUCGAGAGAUCCUGCGCCGAAGAUGUCCGGGGCUCAAACUUACCACCGAAGCUACGGGUUCACACUUAUGUGUGAGCGGUAGAGGAGCGUCGUAAUCGGGCUGAAGUCGUACCGUAAGGAGCGGUGGACUGAUUACGAGUGAGAAUGUUGGCAUUAGUAGCGAGAUGUGGGUGAGAAUCCCACAGGCCGAAUAUCUAAGGUUUCCUCAGGAAGGUUCGUCCGCUGAGGGUUAGUCGGGACCUAAGCCGAGGCCGAAAGGCGUAGGCGAUGGACAAUCGGUUGAUAUUCCGAUACCACUACUGAUCGUUAUUAUCGAUGGUGUGACGGAGAAGGAUAGAGUGUGCUAGCUAUUGGAUGCUAGUCUAAGCGUUUAGGGAGUUAGGAAAGGCAAAUCCGUCCUAACAAUUCUGAGGCGUGAUGGGGAAGGUUCUACGGAACCGAAGUACUUGAUUCCAUGCUUCCAAGAAAAGCAUCUAGAGAGAGAUGUAGUGCCCGUACCGCAAACCGACACAGGUAGAUGAGGAGAGAAUCCUAAGGCCGGCGGAAGAAUCACAGUUAAGGAACUAGGCAAAUUGACCCCGUAACUUAGGGAGAAGGGGUGCCUGUGAGAGCAGGCCGCAGAGAAUAGGCCCAAGCAACUGUUUAGCAAAAACACAGGUCUCUGCUAAAGCGAAAGCUGAUGUAUAGGGGCUGACGCCUGCCCGGUGCUGGAAGGUUAAGGGGAACACUUAGCGCAAGCGAAGGUGUGAACUUAAGCCCCAGUAAACGGCGG
rnacentral:rRNA from 1 species